rnacentral:rRNA from 1 species
UACGAAGGGUGCUAGCGUUGUUCGGUAUUACUGGGCGUAAAGCGCGCGUAGGCUGUUUGACAAGUCAGAGGUGAAAGCCCUGGGCUCAACCCAGGAAUUGCCUUUGAAACUGUCAGACUAGAGUGUCGGAGGGGAUAGCGGAAUUGCUAAUGUAGAGGUGAAAUUCGUAGAUAUUAGCAGGAACACCGGUGGCGAAGGCGGCUAUCUGGACGACAACUGACGCUGAGGCGCGAAAGCACGGGGAUCAAACAGG